rnacentral:tRNA from 1 species
GGGACUUUGGCCGAGCGGUCUAAGGCGCCAGGUUUAGGUGUAACACGCUUAACAUAAAAUCCCUGGUAUCGCAAGAUGCGCGAGUUCGAAUCUCGCAGGUCUCA